CGCAAGCCUGACGGAGCAAGACCGCGUGGGGGAUGACGGCCUAAUGGUUGUAAACCCCUUUUCUCUGGGAAGAAGACUGACGGUACCAGAGGAAUCAGCCUCGGCUAACUCCGUGCCAGCAGCCGCGGUAAUACGGAGGAGGCAAGCGUUAUCCGGAAUUAUUGGGCGUAAAGCGUCCGUAGGUGGUUAUUCAAGUCUGCUGUCAAAGCGUGGGGCUUAACUCCAUAGAGGCAGUGGAAACUGGAUGACUUGAGUGCGGUAGGGGUCGAGGGAAUUCCCAGUGUAGCGGUGAAAUGCGUAGAUAUUGGGAAGAACACCAGUGGCGAAAGCGCUCGACUGGGCCUGCACUGACACUGAGGGACGAAAGCUAGGGGAGCG
rnacentral:rRNA from 1 species